GAUUAUAGUUUGAUCAUGGCUCAGAGUGAACGCUGGCGGUAGGCCUAACACAUGCAAGUCGAACGGCAGCACAGGAGAGCUUGCUCUCUGGGUGGCGAGUGGCGGACGGGUGAGGAAUACAUCGGAAUCUACUUUUUCGUGGGGGAUAACGUAGGGAAACUUACGACUAAUACCGCAUACGACCUACGAGGUGAAGGCAGGGAGAUCUUCGGACCUAUGCGCGAUUGAAU
rnacentral:rRNA from 1 species